UACGGAGGGUGCAAGCGUUGUCCGGAAUCACUGGGCGUAAAGGGCGCGUAGGCGGCUCAUGAAGGCUGUGGUGAAAGGUUCAGGGCUCAACCCGGACACUGCCUUCCAUACUGGGGACCUUGAGUGUGGGAGAGGCGAGUGGAAUUCUUGGUGUAGCGGUGAAAUGCGUAGAUAUCAAGAGGAACACCCAUGGCGAAGGCAGCUCGCUGGCCUAUAACUGACGCUGAGGCGCGAAAGCUGGGGGAGCAAACAGG
rnacentral:rRNA from 1 species